GACGAACGCUGGCGGCGUGCUUAACACAUGCAAGUCGAACGGAAAGGCCCUACUUUUGUGGGGUGCUCGUGUGGCGAACGGGUGAGUAACACGUGAGUAACCUGCCCUUGACUUUGGGAUAACUUCAGGAAACUGGGGCUAAUACCGGAUAGGAGCUCCUGCUGCACGGGGGGGGUUGGAAAGUUUCGGCGGUUGGGGAUGGACUCGCGGCUUAUCAGCUUGUUGGUGGGGUAGUGGCUUACGAAGGGUUUGACGGGUAGCCGGCCUGAGAGGGUGACCGGCCACAUUGGGACUGAGGUACGGCCCAGACGCCUACGUGAGGCAGCAGUGGGAAAUAUUGCAGAGUGGGCGGAAGCCUGAGGCAGCAACGCCGCGUGCGGGAUGACGGCCUUCGGGUUGUAAACCGCUUUCGCCUGUGACGAAGCGUGAGUGACGGUAAUGGGUAAGGAAGCACCGGCUAACUACGUG
rnacentral:rRNA from 1 species